rnacentral:rRNA from 1 species
GUUGAACGCUGGCGGCAGGCCUAACACAUGCAAGUCGAACGAGUGGCGAACGGGUGAGUAAUGUCUGGGAAACUUCCUGAUGAAGGGGGGUAACUACUGGGAACGGUAGGUAAUACCGCAUCCCAUACGUGUAAGCCAGAUGGGAUUGGGUAGUUGGGGGGUUAACGGCUAACCAGGGCGACGAUACCUCGCUGGUCUGAGAGGAUGACCAGCAAAACUGGAAUUGAGAAACGGUCCAGACGCCUCGGGGAGGCAGAAGUGGGGAAUAGUGGAAAAGGGGCGAAAUCCUGAUGCAGCAAGGCCGCGUGGAUGAAGAAGGCCUUCGGGUUGUAAAGUACGUUAAGCGGGGAGGCGGUACCCGCAGAAGAAGCACCGGCUAACUCCGUGCCAGCAGCCGCGGUAAUUC